rnacentral:rRNA from 1 species
AGUUUGAUCAUGGCUCAGGAUGAACGCUAGCGGCAGGCCUAAUACAUGCAAGUCGAGGGGCAGCAGGAAUAGCAAUAUUUGCUGGCGACCGGCGCACGGGUGCGUAACACGUAUACAAUCUACCUUUAACUGGGGGAUAGCCCGGAGAAAUCCGGAUUAAUACCCCAUAACAGUAGGAGAGGCAUCUCUCUUAUUUGAAAGUUCCGACGGUUAGAGAUGAGUAUGCGCCUGAUUAGUUUGUUGGUGAGGUAACGGCUCACCAAGACUACGAUCAGUAGGGGAUCUGAGAGGAUUAACCCCCACACGGAUACUGAGACACGGAUCCGACUCCUACGGGAGGCAGCAGUAAGGAAUAUUGGACAAUGGGCGCAAGCCUGAUCCAGCCAUGCCGCGUGCAGGAAGAAGGCCCUAUGGGUCGUAAACUGCUUUUACACCGGAGAAAACCCCCUUUCGUGAAAGGGGCUGAUAGUAUGGUGAGAAUAAGCAUCGGCUAACUUCGUG